rnacentral:tRNA from 1 species
UGUGGCAGAAUAGUGCUGUAAAUUUAAGAUUUACCUAAAAAGUAAACCUUUCUUUAGAA